GUGAGCGGCACAGCUCAAAUUUGAAAUCUGGCGCAAGACGAGAUGUAAUUUGUAGAGGAUGUUUCUGGCGACGUGCCUUCCGAGUUCCCUGGAACGGGACGCCAUAGAGGGUGAGAGCCCCGUACGGUUGGAUGCCUAGCCUCUGUGAAACUCCUUCGACGAGUCGAGUAGUUUGGGAAUGCUGCUCUAAAUGGGAGGUAUACGUCUUCUAAAGCUAAAUACCGGCCAGAGACCGAUAGCGCACAAGUAGAGUGAUCGAAAGAUGAAAAGCACCCCCCAAAGAGGGUUAAAAAGUACGUGAAAUUGUUGAAAGGGAAGCGUUCAUGACCAGACUUGGGCAGGUUGAUCAUCCGUGGUUCUCCGCGGUGCACUCUGCCUGCCCAGGCCAGCAUCAGUUCGCCCCGGGGGAUAAAGGUUUUGGGAAUGUGGCUCCCUCGGGAGUGUUUACCCCACUGCGUAAUACCCUGGGGUGGACUGAG
rnacentral:rRNA from 1 species